rnacentral:rRNA from 1 species
AGAGUUUGAUUAUGGCUCAGAACUAACGCUGGCGGCGUGGCUUAGGCAUGCAAGUCGAACGGCAAAGUCCGCAAGGACGAGUAAGUGGCGAAAGGGUGCGUAAUACUCGGGCAAUCUGCCUCUGGGACGAGGAUAGCCGCGGGAAACUGCGGGCAAUACUGGAUAGGCUCACGGGGGCUGCGGCCCCUGGGAGUAAUCGGUGGGGAUCCGCAAGGACCUUCCGCCCAGAGAGGAGCUCGAGGCCUAUCAGGUAGUUGGCGGGGUAACGGCCCACCAAGCCUACGACGGGUACCCGGACUGAGAGGUCGGCCGGGCACACUGGCACUGAGACACUGGCCAGACUCCUACGGGAGGCUGCAGUCGAGAAUCUUCCGCAAUGGGGGCAACCCUGACGGAGCGACGCCGCGUGGAGGAAGAAGGCCUUCGGGUUGUAAACUCCUGUCACGACUUACGAAAAUGCAGCGUGUAACAUCGCUGCACUGACAAAGGGUCGGAAGGAAGCCACAGCUAACUUCGUGCCAGCAGCUGCGGUAAUACGAAGGUGGCAGCGUUGUUCGGAUUCACUGGGCAUAAAGGGCGCGUAGGCGGUUCCGAAAGUGAUCUGUGAAAGCCCCCGGCUCAACCAGGGAAGUGCAGGUCAAACUUCGGUACUCGAGGCUGGGAGGGGAGACUGGAACUCUCGGUGGAGCGGUGAAAUGCGUAGAUAUCGAGAGGAACACCGGUGGCGAAGGCGAGUCUCUGGUCCAGCACUGACGCUGAGGCGCGAAAGCGUGGGUAGCAAACAGGAUUAGAUACCCUGGUAGUCCACGCCGUAAACGAUGAGCACUAGGUAGCGGCGGGAUCCGUCCCGUCGCUGCUGACGGAAAUCCAUUAAGUGCUCCGCCUGGGGAGUAUGGUCGCAAGGCCGAAACUCAAAGGAAUUGACGGGGGCUCACACAAGCGGUGGAGGAUGUUGCUCAAUUCGAAGCAACGCGAAGAACCUUACCUGGGUUUGACAUGCAGGGAUUAACCCCAUGAAAGUGGGGGGAUUGCCUUCGGGUGUAACCUGUACAGGUGUUGCAUGGCUGUCGUCAGCUCGUGCCUUGAGGUGUUGGGUUAAGUCCCCUAACGAGCGAAACCCCUGUCGUUAGUUGCCAUCGGGUCAUGCCGGGCACUCUAGCGAGACUGCCGGUGUCAAACCGGAGGAAGGUGGGGACGACGUCAAGUCAUCAUGGCCCUUAUAUCCAGGGCGGCAAACGUCCUACAAUGGCCCGUACAAAGGGAAGCAAAGCCGCGAGGCGGAGCAAAUCCCAAAAAGCGGGCCCUAGUUCGGAUUGCAGGCUGCAAUUCGCCUGCAUGAAGCUGGAAUCGCUAGUAAUCGCGGAUCAGAACGCCGCGGUGAAUAUGUUCCUGAGCCUUGUACACACCGCCCGUCAAGCCACGAAAGUCGGAAGCACCCGAAGUCGUCGAUCCAACCGCAAGGAGGAAGGCGCCGAAGGUGAGUUCGAUGAUUGGGACUAAGUCGUAACAAGGUAACC